AACUAACAAGGAUUCCCCUAGUAACGGCGAGUGAACAGGGAAAAGCCCAGCACCGAAGCCUGUGGCCAUUUGGUCAUAAGGCAAUGUGGUGUUCAGGUUGUUCCGCAGAGGUGCUGCUCCACCCUAAGUCCAUCAAUGAGUACGGUAUUGUGGACCCGGCCCAAAGAGGGUGAAAGGCCCGUGGGGGUGGAGACCAGGUAGGCCAGCACCUUUCUGGAUAGACCUUGGAGUCGGGUUGUUUGUGAAUGCAGCCCAAAGUGGGUGGUAAACUCCAUCCAAGGCUAAAUACUAGCACGAGUCCGAUAGCGAACAAGUACCGUGAGGGAAAGUUGAAAAGUACUUUGAAGAGAGAGUAAACAGUGCGUGAAACCGAUCAGAGGUAAGCGGGUGGAGUUGAACUGCAAGCUCUGAGAAUUCAGCUGGUGAGUGUGGUUUGAGCUUGGUCAAGUCGGUUGGACCUCGGAGUCUGUGUAGCAACAGGCCUUUGCCUUUCUGGGUAGAGGUGCGCGAUGCACUUAUCAAGUGUUGUGCGCUCCGGGUGUUCUUCGGGCCGACUCGCCAGUGCACUUUCUCAGAGUAGUCACCACGACCGGCACUGCUGUCUGGCUGGUGCGGUUAAACCGGUCUUGCAUUGUCCUUGUGGCUUUGCUUGGYCGGGAUGGCAGGUAGCUUGUUGGCUGGCUUGUGGUUCGCUGCAAUCGGUCUUCGAGUGUAAUCAGCUGACCGUAUCGGUUCUGUGCAGUGUGUCGGAGACGGCGGCUUUUGUGUGUGCGUGCGUGCCAGGUUGGCCGGCGUGUUCGAGUUCUGGUUGUUCCGUAGCCUGUGAAUGCAGGCCUGAUGAUGGCUCGGAUUCGUUCGGUCAACGGUUGCGUGCGUGACACUUUUCAUGGGCCAAUAGUCUGUGGUGUAGUGGUAGACUAUCCACCCGACCCGUCUUGAAACACGGACCAAGGAGAGUAACAUGUGCGCGAGUCAUUGGGCGAUACGAAACCCAUAGGCGCAGUGAAAGUGAAUGUUUGGCUUGUCCAGACUGAGGUGAGAUCCUGUCGUUUCUCAUGCGUGGUACCACCAAGCUUCGAGCGGCAGGCGCAUCACCGGCCCGUCCCAUGACGAUUGUUUUCGGACAUUACCCAUCGGGGCGGAGCA
rnacentral:rRNA from 1 species